UACGAAGGGGGCUAGCGUUGUUCGGAAUUACUGGGCGUAAAGCGCAUGUAGGCGGAUUAUUAAGUCAGGGGUGAAAUCCCGAGGCUCAACCUCGGAACUGCCUUUGAUACUGGUAAUCUUGAGUCCGGGAGAGGUGAGUGGAACUCCGAGUGUAGAGGUGAAAUUCGUAGAUAUUCGGAAGAACACCAGUGGCGAAGGCGGCUCACUGGCCCGGUACUGACGCUGAGAUGCGAAAGCGUGGGGAGCAAACAGG
rnacentral:rRNA from 1 species